rnacentral:rRNA from 1 species
CCUACGGGAGGCAGCAGUCGAGAAUCAUUCACAAUGGGGGAAACCCUGAUGGUGCGACGCCGCGUGGGGGAAUGAAGGUCUUCGGAUUGUAAACCCCUGUCAUGUGGGAGCAAAUGAAAAAGAUAGUACCACAAGAGGAAGAGACGGCUAACUCUGUGCCAGCAGCCGCGGUAAUACAGAGGUCUCAAGCGUUGUUCGGAAUCACUGGGCUUAAAGCGUGCGUAGGCUGUUUCGUAAGUCGUGUGUGAAAGGCGCGGGCUCAACCCGCGGACGGCACAUGAUACUGCGAGACUAGAGUAAUGGAGGGGGAACCGGAAUUCUCGGUGUAGCAGUGAAAUGCGUAGAUAUCGGGAGGAACACUCGUGGCGAAGGCGGGUUCCUGGACAUUAACUGACGCUGAGGCACGAAGGCCAGGGGAGCGAAAGGGAUUAGAUACCCCUGUAGUC